UACGUAGGGUGCAAGCGUUGUCCGGAAUUAUUGGGCGUAAAGAGCUCGUAGGCGGUUUGUCACGUCUGCUGUGAAACUGGAGGCUCAACCUCCAGCUUGCAGUGGGUACGGGCAGACUAGAGUGCGGUAGGGGAGAUUGGAAUUCCGGGUGUAGCGGUGGAAUGCGUAGAGAUCCGGAAGAACACCGGUGGCGAAGGCGGCCUGCUGGGCGAGUAGCUGACGCUGAAGCGCGACAGCGUGGGGAGCAAACAGG
rnacentral:rRNA from 1 species